GAUGAACGCUGGCGGCGUGCCUAAUACAUGCAAGUCGAGCGAACGGACGAGAAACUUGCUUCUCUGAUGUUAGCGGCGGACGGGUGAGUAACACGUGGAUAACCUACCUAUAAGACUGGGAUAACUUCGGGAAACCGGAGCUAAUACCGGAUAAUAUUUUGAACCGCAUGGUUCAAAAGUGAAAGACGGUCUUGCUGUCACUUAUAGAUGUAUCCGCGUUGCAUUAGCUAGUUGGUAAGGUAACGGCUUACCAAGGCAACGAUGCAUAGCCGACCUGAGAGGGGGAUGGGCCACACUGGACCUGAGACACGGUCCAGACUCCUACGGGGGGCAGCAGUAGGGAAUCUUCCGCAAUGGGCAAAAGCCUGACGGGGCAACGCCGCGUGAGUGAUGAAGGUCUUCGGAUCGUAAAACUCUGUUGUUAGGGAAGAACAUAUGUGUAAGUAACUGUGCACAUCUUGACGGUACCUAAUCAGAAAGCCACGGCUAACUACGUG
rnacentral:rRNA from 1 species